rnacentral:rRNA from 1 species
CUUGGUCAUUUAGAGGAAGUAAAAGUCGUAACAAGGUUUCCGUAGGUGAACCUGCGGAAGGAUCAUUAAAGAGUUUUUCACUAGCUACUCGGCACAGCCGAGUAGGUAGGUUUACAUCAAUUGAGCUGUCAUGUCGCGUCCAGCGACUUGUUGCGUCCAGCAACAGGUUGUUGCGUUCAGCAACAGACAGCGGGUCCCUGGGACCGUAAGCCAGAUAUUGGUGCAUUAUUGGUCGUGAGCGAAGUCCUCACCGACUAACAAUGCACCAAGAUUAACAAUUGAAACAAAAACACAAUACACGAGAACCUCUACGCAAUGGAUCUCUCGGCUCUUGCAUCGAAGAAGAACGCAGUCAAUUGCGAAAAGUAAUGUGAUGUGCACCCUUUGAGAAGCAUUUUACUCUUUGAACGCACCUUGCGCGCAUCCUUCUGGGAUGCGAGGUCCUGUUUGAGCGUGUUUAACGAAUUUUUAUUUGGCUGCUCUUGCUCGCUACUCGGCUUUGCCGAGUAGAUGGAGAAAUGGCAAUUGAAAAAUAUGCAGGACGCCCGAACGACUCUAGGGCGCCACGACGAGCAGCGCGACAAGCACCACUGCGACUCGAGGCACUGCGGGUUUGCGAAUGCGAAUGCGAGAGCAAUUGCACCUGGCGAACAACACCAACAAACACACACACCUCAAAUCAGGAUAGAGGACCCGCUGAACUUAAGCAUAUCAGUAAGCGGAGGAAAAGAAACUAACGAGGAUUCCCUCAGUAACGGCGAGUGAAGCGGGAACAGCCCAUGACGAACCAUUUAGCAGUAAAAGGAAUGUGUCGUGGAGCGGGGCACGGUGCUGAGCAGAGGUCGCAGGUCCCCUGGAAAGGGGCGGCAGAGAGGGUGAUACCCCCGUGGCGACAUUUGCAAAAGUACAACGUGCCUUGCAGCGAGUCGGAUUGUUUGGGAAUGCAAUCCCAAGUAGGUGGUACGCGCCAUCUAAGGCUAAAUAGCGGCAAGAGACCGAUAGCAAACAAGUACCGUGAGGGAAAGAUGAAAAGGACUCUGAAGAGAGAGUCAAAAGUGCGUGAAAUUGCGUGGAGGGAAACGAAGGCGCGGUUUGCAGGAGACUCGGCCUAGCCGAGUCGAAAGUCGGCGUCGGUCAGCGCAAGAAGCGGCCUGGGAGGUGCCACGUGGCAACACAUGGACAUAGAGCCAGGUCGGAUUGCGGGGACCGGCACCCGGCGGAGACCGCGUCUUUGACCCGUCUUGAAACACGGACC